AUUCUUCUUCCUCCAAACACGACGAGUUGAGUUUAGAUGAAAACCAAAAUAGAACUUUUUGGUAUAACCACAUGACAUUCUCCCAAUCCUCUGCUGUAUCAUCCAUGUAUCCAUUUUGGUAUAAACUCAACUCGUGUUUGGAGGAAGAAGAAUACUGAGUUGCAUCCCAAGAACACCAUAGCUACUGUGAAGCAUGGGGGUGGAAACAUCAUGCUUUGGGGCUGUUUUUCUGCUAAGGGGACAAGAUGAUUGAUCCGUGUUAAGGAAAGAAUGAAUGGGGCCAUGUAUCGUGAGAUUUUGAGUAAAAACCUUCCAUCAGUGAGAGCUUUGAAUGGUUGACCAAAUACUUAUUUUCCACCAUAAUUUACAAAUGAAUUAUUUUAAAAUUCCUAAAAUGUUCAUUCCUGGAUUUUUUUUUCUUAUUCCAUAUCUGAGUUGAAGUGUACCUAUGAUGAAAAUUACAGACCUCUGUCAUCAUUUUAAGUGGGAGAACUUGCACAAUCGGUGGCUGACUAAAUACUUUUUUGCCCCACUGUAUAUAUAUAUUUUUUUCUUCUCGCGCACUAUUUUACAGAGUGCGCACUCGCUCUGCGUUCGCCUGACACUGUGGUGCAAGCACGAUGAUGUCAUGUUAUCGAUGGGAAAAUGCAUUUUUAGACUAUAUAAUUUGCCUGAGCGCCUUGGAGAAACAAACUGUAGAAAACGGAUUAGAAAGGACAGAUUUUUAGAAAAUACAAUUAAAAAAAAAAAAUUUUUUUUUUUUUCUAACUUGGGACUUCCUGCGGGCUGUAUCCGGUUCGCGGGGCGUAGUUUGGGAACCCCUGCUCUAGUAUCCCUGGAGGAGAGGGUUCGAAUCCCACCGCUGCCAAAUUUAUUUCUUUUCCCGUUUCCUUUUUGAAUUAAAUACUUAAUUCUUUGCUGAGAGAAACUCUUUAGACAUUUUCUUUAAAUUUAAUCAGUAAUAAUACAUCUAAUACAACCACGACAUGUGAUCGACUACUUGCCAACCUUGAGACCUCCGAUUUCGGGGGGUAGAAAAAGUGGUCGGCGGGAGGCGUGGUUAAGAAGGGAGGAGUAUAUUUACAGCUGUUGUGUGCGCAGUUGUGCACUGCACUCUAAAAGCUGUAGACGUUAUUGUCACAUAUGCAUGAUUGAUUGAUUGAUUGAAACUUUUAUUAGUAGAUUGCACAGUACAGUACAUAUUCCGUACAAUUGACCACUAAAUGGUAACACCCGAAUAAGUUUUUCAAAUUGUUUAAGUCGGGGUCCACGUUAAUCAAUUCAUGGUACAAAUGUAUACUAUCAGCAUAAUACAAUCAUAAUCAUCAUAGUAUAUACAUUGAAUUAUUUACAUUAUUUAAAAUCCGGGGGGUGGGAUGAGGAGCUUUGGUUGAUAUCAGUACUUUCGUCAUCAACAAUUGCAUCAACAGAGAAAUGGACAUUGAAACAGUGUAGGUCUUAGUAGGAUAUGUACAGCCAGCAGAGUACAUAGUGAGUUCAGAUAGCAUAAGAACAAGUAUAUACAUUAGAAAUACAUUUGAUUAUUUACAUUAGGUUAUUUACAAUCUGGGGAGAUGGAAAUGAAGGAGAGUAUUAGUAAAGGGUUGAAGUUGCCUGGAGGUGUUGUGGUGCAUGUACAGUAGAUGGCAGUAUUGUCCUGUUUUAAAGUGUCACAACAUUGCUGUUUACGGCAGAUGAAAACGUGACUGCUGUUGUUGUGUGUUGUUACCGCGCUGGGGGGACGUUAAUGAAACUCCCUAACAAUAAACCCACAUAAGAAACCAAGAA